AUUUAAAUAGCUUAUAAAUUAGAGUAUAAUAUUGAAGAUAUUAGGGAGAUUAAUUUGAAAUCUUUAAAUA
rnacentral:tRNA from 1 species